rnacentral:rRNA from 1 species
UACGUAGGGGGCGAGCGUUGUCCGAAUUUACUGGGCGUAAAGCGCGCGUAGGCGGGUUAAUAAGUUGGUGGUGAAAUUCCGGGGCUCAACCUCGGAACUGCUGCUGAUACUGUUAGUCUAGAGUUAUGUAGGGGGAAGUGGAAUUCCUGGUGUAGCGGUGAAAUGCGUAGAUAUCAGGAGGAACACCGGUGGCGAAGGCGGCUUCCUGGGCAUUAACUGACGCUGAGGUGCGAAAGCUGGGUUAGCGAACGGG